rnacentral:misc_RNA from 1 species
GAGUUCAUGCCCUCACGGGUAGAUCUCCCACCCUUGUGUAUCAUAUCAUAUGUUGCUUUGGCGGGCUCACCCCCGCCAGAGGACCCCAACUCUGAGUUUAGUGUCGUCUGAGUACUAUAAAAUAGUUAAAACUUUCAACAACGGAUCUCUUGGUUCU